rnacentral:sRNA from 1 species
GGAAGGAUCAUUAUUGAAAUAAACCUGAUGGGUUGUUGCUGGUUCUCCAGGGAGCAUGUGCACACCUUGUCAUCUUUAUAUCUCCACCUGUGCACCUUUUGUAGACCCUUUCCAGGGUCUAUGUCGCUUCAUUUACCCCAAUGUAUGUUAAUAGAAUGUUGUGCUCAUCAUUUAUGAUAAAAAAAAAAUAUACAACUUUCAGCAACGGAUCUCUUGGCUCUCGCAUCGAUGAAGAACGCAGCGAAAUGCGAUAAGUAAUGUGAAUUGCAAAAUUCAGUGAAUCAUCGAAUCUUUGAACGCACCUUGCGCUCCUUGGUAUUCCGAGGAGCAUGCCUGUUUGAGUGUCAUUAAUAUAUAUAUCAACCUUUCUCUUUUGUGAAUGGUUUGGAUGUGGGGGUUUGCUGGUCUCUUGAAAAGAGUUCGGCUCCUCUGAAAUGCAUUAGCAGAACAACCUGGUUCAUUGGCGUGAUAACUAUCUACGUUGUUGAAUGUCAGGGGGCGGUUCAGCUUUCUAACAGUCUUUGGACAAAUUAUCAUUAAUGUGACCUCAAAUCAGGUAGGACUACCCGCUGAACUUAAGCAUAUCAAUAAGCGGAGGAA